AUGUAUCAUGGCUGGAGUGAUCCAAGAUAUGGCUCUAGUUUCGCCUCUCUAAAAUUCACAUCUAUUCAUCAGUCAACUUCAGAUUAUCAUUUGAUCAUAAACAAUGUGGAAGAGGGAGACUCUGCAGUCUAUUACUGUAGGACACUGCACAGCUCUGUAAACACCUGGGUAUUCUGACAAGGCACCAAGCUGAUUGUGACAGGCUCCAGCCUCCCUCCUCCUGUCCUGACAGUCUUCCCUCCGUCCAGUGCUGAGCUCCAGUCCAACAUAGCUUCUCUGGUCUGUCUGUCCAGUCAGUCUGUGCCUGUUGCAGAUGUGAGCUGGUUGGCUGGUGGGAGUCCAGUGAGCAGUGGGAUCUCUACCAGCACUGCUGUUCAGAGACCAGACCAGACUUACCAAAUCAGCAGCUCUCUGACCAUCCAGACAUCAGACUGGAACAUGGAUAAGGUUUAUACAUGUAAAGUGUCUUUGGGCUCACAGACUUCAGAGAAAACCAUCAAGAAGUCAGAAUGUCCCACUGAAUAGUCGAGGACCAGAAUGUGCAUUUAAAAUCUGCUUAUUUCCUUUUCAUGCUGUUUGCUCAUUACAGUCUUUACAUGUUAGAAAUCAGAAUAAAGCAAAAUGUUUAAGACAUGUAUUCAUUUGCCGG